CAGCAGCCGCGGGAAUACGAAGGGUGCAAGCGUUAAUCGGAAUUACUGGGCGUAAAGCGUGCGUAGGCGGUUUGUUAAGUCUGUUGUGAAAUCCCCGGGCUCAACCUGGGAAUGGCAGUGGAUACUGGCUCGCUAGAGUGUGUCAGAGGAUGGUGGAAUUCCCGGUGUAGCGGUGAAAUGCGUAGAGAUCGGGAGGAACAUCAGUGGCGAAGGCGGCCAUCUGGGACAACACUGACGCUGAGGCACGAAAGCGUGGGGAGCAAACAGGAUUAGAUACCCCCGUAGUCCCUGUCUCUUAUAA
rnacentral:rRNA from 1 species